UCACUCCUGCUGGAUGAAGAAAUAUAGACAUUGCACUUUUAAACACUGCAACGAGAGCUGUGCCUAAGGAGCAGGAUUUCAUAUUCAGAGAAAAAAAUUUUUGCAGACAGGCACUGGAAGACAUCUGUGACAAGCCUGUGUGGAAUAAGUGAUAACGCCUUCUGAAAUGUUUGCAAAAGCAAGUCACCUGCUGUUUGCCAGUGACCACUGCUCUCUUCAGUGGGAUGAGCAAGGUUGUACAGAGCCAAAUGAUGGCGAAGAUUCGGAGAAGCAUUAAAAUAUGUGCUAAAAGGUAAACAAUAAAAAUGAUUGCAAAUCU
rnacentral:lncRNA from 1 species